rnacentral:rRNA from 1 species
GAUGAACGCUGGCGGCGUGCUUAACACAUGCAAGUCGAACGGAAAGGCCCAAGCUUGCUUGGGUACUCGAGUGGCGAACGGGUGAGUAACACGUGGGUGAUCUGCCCUGCACUUCGGGAUAAGCCUGGGAAACUGGGUCUAAUACCGGAUAGGACCACAUUUUGGAUGGUGUGGUGGAAAGUUUUUCGGUGUGGGAUGAGCUCGCGGCCUAUCAGCUUGUUGGUGGGGUAAUGGCCUACCAAGGCGUCGACGGGUAGCCGGCCUGAGAGGGUGUACGGCCAAAUUGGGACUGGAAUACGGCCCAGACUCCUAGGGGAGGCAGCAGGGGGGAAUAUUGCACAAGGGGCGCAAGCCUGAUCCAGCGGCGCCGCGUGGGGGAUGACGGCCUUCGGGUUGUAAACGCCUUUCGCUAGGGACGAAGCGUUAUGUGACGGUACCUGGAGAAGAAGCACCGGCUAACUACGUG